GUGAGGAAUUUUCCGCAAUGGGCGAAAGCCUGACGGAGCAAUGCCACGUGAAGGAUGAAGGCCUAUGGGUUGUAAACUUCUUUUCUCAGAAAAGAAUUAUGACGGUAUCUGAGGAAUAAGCAUCGGCUAACUCUGUGCCAGCAGCCGCGGUAAGACAGAGGAUGCAAGCGUUAUCCGGAAUGAUUGGGCGUAAAGCGUCUGUAGGUUGUUUAAAAAGUAUUCUGUCAAAGAUUAGGGCUUAACCCUAGAUAGGCAGAAUAAACUUUUAAGCUAGAGUUUGGUAGAGGCAGAGGGAAUUCCCGGUGGAGCGGUGAAAUGCGUAGAUAUCGGGAGGAACACCAAAGGCGAAGGCACUCUGCUGGGCCAAUACUAACACUGAGAGACGAAAGCGAGGGGAGCAAAUGGGAUUAGAUACCCUAGUAGUCC
rnacentral:rRNA from 1 species